rnacentral:lncRNA from 1 species
AUUGCGUAUACUUUUUUCUACCAAAUGCAUAGUUUACGAUUCUAUAAGGGACAUAGGUACAGACAAACAUUCAUUUUUAUAUAUUAUAGAGAAUAGGGAAAUAUUUAGAUUGCUA